rnacentral:rRNA from 1 species
AGCGCAGGCGGGAAGACAAGUUGGAAGUGAAAACCAUGGGCUCAACCCAUGAAUUGCUUUCAAAACUGUUUUUCUUGAGUAGUGCAGAGGUAGAUGGAAUUCCCGGUGUAGCGGUGGAAUGCGUAGGUAUCGGGAGGAACACCAGUGGCGAAGGCGGUCUACUGGGCACCAACUGACGCUGAGGCUCGAAAGCAUGGGUAGCAAACA